rnacentral:misc_RNA from 1 species
GCUCUGCUGCCGUGAGGCGGCUCCCCUCAAAUGCAUCGGUUGGGCCUGUGGGUCGAACUCGACUGGGCGUUGUACCAUCCUCGCUCGACAGAGACGUUCCCCUCUUGUGCCCUUCCCCGACCUGCCUCUCAGGGUGGCGGUCACAAGCAAAAGCUUUGAAAUCUGACCUCAAAUCAGGUAGGACUACCCGCUGAACUUAA